AUAAAUUUUUAUUAAUAAGCAUUUAAUGAAAUCCUUGGUAAAUUAAAUUGGACGUGAAUAUACGAAAUUUGCAAUUAGGCACAAGCUUGUGAGUUGUAAUUUUCCUUAAUUUUAAAAAAGUUUUAUAAAAAAUUUUGUGAAUUGAAUCAUCUUAGUAGCAUUUAAAAUUUAAAUCAAACGAGAUAGUGAAAGUAGCGGUGAGCGAAAUCACAAAUAAGCUUUAUCAAAUUUUUACAAUAAUUAUAAUUAAAACUAAAAAAGGUAAAAGUCCUGUAAUAAUUCUUUAAUAAUAAAUUUGAGUUUAGUAAUAUGAUUAAAAUUGUAUGAAUAUAGGAGAACCACCUUCUAAGCUUAAAAAUUUAAUUUAACCUAUAGUGAACAAGUACUGUGAAGGAAAGGAUAAUAUUGAAAAAAUAUUUAAAUUGAAUGUUUAUAACUUACUCGAAGUUGAUUAAAACAACGAGAUGCUUUUUGCAUAACGAGUCAGCAAGUUAAUAAGCAUAGCAAAAAAUAAAUAUAAAUUUUUUUUAAUUUUAUAAGUUAUGCUUAUUAGACCUGAAACCAGAUGAUCUAACCAUUUCUAAGUUAAAAAUUAAGUAAAAUUUUUUUGAGGACUCAACUCGUGUAUGUGGCAAAAUACUGAGAAAAGUUAUGGUUAGGAGCGAAAGACUAAUCAAAUUUGGUUAUAGCCGGUUUUUCACGAAAUGUAUUUUAGUACAUCAUUAACUAUAAAAAAAUUAAGGUAAAGUACAAAAUGAGGAAAAGGAAUUAAUUUUUUAUAGCACUUAUUUUAACUCGGAAUUAAAUUUUUUGAUAAAGUUAAUAGUCAGUCUUAAAGCGAUAAGGUUUUAAGACUAAAGGAAAACAAUCCAGAUCGUUUACUAAGAUCUCAAAAUAUAAUUUAGUAAUAAAAAAAAAUUUAAGAAUCAAAUAUAAUUAAUUUUUGAUAGGCUUAGAAGCAGUUUUUCAUUAGAGAAAGCGUUUUAGCUCAUUAUUUUUUCUUAAAAAUUUGAAAAUUUUCGAGGUUAAAUUAUAAUAUCGAUGUAACGGAUUAUAAAUAUAAAUUUAUAAUGGUAGUGAAACGUUUUGUUAGAAAAUUUUUGUUUAUUGCAAAAUAAAAAAAAAAAUUAAACAAAAGUGCUAAUGCUGACAUGAGUAACGAAUAACUAUGUAUAAAACAUAGUCUUUUUUUUUAGGUUUUCAAUGUAAUUUUUAAUACGUUGAGUGAAUCGGUCCUUAAAAAGUUAAAUAAAUAUUGUAUUUGAUAGGAUAUUUUAAAAGUUUAAUUAUAUGUAAGUAAUAUUUUUGUUUAUUUAAAUAAAAGUUAAGAUAAGUUAACAGCUUUAGUUUAAGAUAAGUUAAUAUAUUGAUUUUUAUCAAGAAAAAUUUAUAAUUAAAAAAACCGUACUAAAACCGACACAGGUAAUAUUAAUAUAAAAGAUUGAAAGAAUUAUAUUAAAGGAACUCGGCAAACUAUUUUUGUAAGUUCGCGAUAAAAAAUACCAUUAAAGUAAUUUUAAUGGAAUAAAAACAAAAGCAACGACUGGUUAACAAAACCACAGAACUCUGCAAAUUUUUUAAAAGAUGUAUAGGGUUUGAAGCCUGCCCAGUGCUUAAAAGUGAAAAAAUAUAAAAUAUAAAGUUAAUAUUAUAAGCUUAAGUAAACGGCGGUUCUAACUAUAAGAAUCCUUAGGUAGCGAAAUUCCUUGGCGGGUAAAUUCCGUCCUGCAUGAAUGGCGUAACGAUUGCUUUACUGUCUCUAAUAUAAAUUCAGUGAAAUUCCAAUAUCCAUGAAAAUGUGGAUUACUUACAAUAAGACGGAAAGACCCUAGAUCCUUUACUUUUAUUUUAUAUUGUAAAAAUUAAUAUAUUAUAUAGUAUAAAUGGGAGUUUUAUUUACAAAAUUGAAAUACCAUUAAAUAUAUUAAUUUUUACUUAAAAUUUGUUGUUAAAAAUAUAACAAAGACCGUAUAAAAAAGAAAGUUUACUUGGGAUGAGUACCUCCUAAAAAGUAACGGAGGUGUACAAAGGUAAAUUUUUGAAAUGUAACAGUGUAUAAUUUGCUUGACAAUAAGAUUUAUAAAUCAAAUUGAGACUAAAGUCAGUUGUAGUGACCCAAUAAUUAGAGUGGAAUAAUUAUUGUUCAACAGUUAAAAGGAACUCUAGGGAUAACAGAUUCAUCGUGAUUUAAAGUUCAAAUUGAAAUCACGGUUUGAUACCUCGAUGUCGACUCAUCUUAUCCUGAAGUUGAAGAAGAUUUCAAGGGUCUAGUUGUUCGCUAGUUAAAAAGGUACGUGAGUUGGGUUCAGAACGUCGUGAGACAGUUCGGUCCCUAUCUAUUGUAAGAUAUAGAAAAUCAAAAAGAAUUAUUUUUAGUACGAGAGGACUGAAAUAAAUUAACCUCUGGUUAUAUAAUUAUUAAUAUUUCAUUAUUAUUAAGUAGCUACGUUAGUUUAAUUUAAAUACUGAAUGAAUCAAAUUUUGUAUUAAAAUAACUUUUAGGUUUUUCAAGAAUAUUCUAAAAGAAAAUUAGAUUGAUCGGUUUGGAAAUUAAAUUUAGUAAUAAACAUAAGUAACAAAUACGAAUUAUUCAUUAAAAUU
rnacentral:rRNA from 1 species